UACGGGGGGGCAAGCGUUGUUCGGAAUUACUGGGCGUAAAGGGCUCGUAGGUGGCCAACUAAGUCAGACGUGAAAUCCCUCGGCUUAACCGGGGAACUGCGUCUGAUACUGGAUGGCUUGAGUUCGGGAGAGGGAUGCGGAAUUCCAGGUGUAGCGGUGAAAUGCGUAGAUAUCUGGAGGAACACCGGUGGCGAAGGCGGCAUCCUGGACCGACACUGACACUGAGGAGCGAAAGCCAGGGGAGCAAACGGG
rnacentral:rRNA from 1 species